rnacentral:lncRNA from 1 species
UAGCUCCCCCUAGUGGUAAGUGAUAGAUUUGACUGGCCUGGAAAUAAUGUAAUUUCUGUAGGUAGGUUAUCAUGAAGCAUCUUUGUCUAUGCAUAAGCUUACACUUUAAAUUGCAUCAACAUUUUAUAUAAAAUAUUUAGCUAAAGUGCUAAAUUCUAUUGUAAAAUAUGGAUUUUGGUUGCAAGUCAGUUAAUACAUUUUCCUGAUACUGAAGGGCAGGUAUCAGAAAAAGAAACUAAAAAUCCUUUUGACUUUGAAAGUGUUUCAAGAUGUAAUGAGUUCUUAGAAUUGUUUUUAUUUUUUUUUGAAACAGUCUGUCAAUAUUUUAGUCUUUUCUUGAACUCAUGGUAUUCUUCCUGUCUGGUCUUCCUGCAUGCUGAAAUUCCAGGUAUAGUCUACCAUUCCUGGCUAUAAUAUUAAACUUAUACUAGAUACUAAAUAUCCCAUUAAAACGAAGUCUCAAGUAUACCACCCUUACAAGUCUGCUGGGGACAUCCACCCUAGCAGGUGCUAUGUGGAGUGCUUUAUACUGUAUCUCAUUUUCUCAGUGCAGUAGAUUAUGGGUUAGACAUGUAGCCCUACUUUAAAAAUAUUGACACCUAAAGAAGGUGAAGGAUCUACUAAGAGUUAUGUGGUUAACACGUUAGGAUUUCAUUCAGUCUCAUUUUUCUCCAGGGUCUUUUUCUUAAUGCCUGACUCAGUAGUUGCCUCCCUGAAUGGUAGAGGUGAUAGGUCACUUGGGGUGGGAGUGUGUGGAUAUUUCAUUUGGUAAUAUGUUUGCUGUAUAGACCUGAGGAUCUAGGACCUGAGUUUGGAUCCCUAGAAUCAUGAAAAUUGGGGCAGCAUGUGCCCAGUGCCUGUGGUGCUCGGUGCCUGCAGUGCCCAGUGCCUAGUAGGUAGACACAAGCUGACUACUGGAGCUCUCUGGACAGUCUGCUGGACCAGACUGCGAGCACUGGAUUUCAGUGAGAGACCUUGUCUCUAUAAAUAAGGUGCAGAACAAUUGAGGAAAACGCUUGCUUUUGACCUCUGGCCCCCACAUGCAUGCAUAUGAAUACAUAUCAUAAACACCUAUCAUCUGCAUACAAACACACUAAAAAUCAGAGAUUGAAGAAUCAGAGGACUUUUUAAUUGGCCAUCUUUAGCGGUAAAUCUGUGAGGAAGUAUAUAUUAGAUUUUAAAAGGUAGGCUUUUAAUAUUUAUAUUAGAUUCAGAAGCUAUUUGGAGUAAUUACUUGGUUGUUAUUAGACAGUGUGAAAUGGAGUUUUGGGAUUUAUUACUCAUAGAAAUUCAUUUUCCUUGAGGUAAUCUUUUUUAUGUAAUGCAUUUUAUAUGUAAUGAAUUUCAUACAAAAUUCCCAAUUUUGUAUGUCUGAGUUUGCUUCUUGGAACUGAAAAGCUACUUGUAUACAAACAAAACUUUUCAGGCAAGUCUACCACAAGCUGUGUGGCAGUAGAUAUAUGAUGUAAAUUGUUUUUGUUGUUGUCAUUUGAGACAAGAUCUCUCUACAUGGCCCUGGCUGUCCUAGAACUCAGUAUAUAGAUCAGGCUUACCUUCGGCUUACAGAGCUCCACCAGCCUCUGCCUCCUGAAUGCUGGGGUCAAAGGUCUGCACUGCCAUGCCCGGCUUGUGAUUUAAUUUUUAUAGUAUCUGAGUAUUCAAUUAUACAAUGCUGGAGUUGAUGUCUCCUUUUUAGGUUAUUAAGGAUUAGAAAAAACAUAUAUAAAGCAUAUGAAGGUGUGUGUGUGUGCAUGUGCACACACGUACACAUGCAUAUAUAAAACUUUCUUUUCUUGAGAGCUUUAAAACAAAAAACCCUAGAUUUCUAAAUUAAUAAUUUCAAAUUAAAUUUUUUCUACUUCUUUUAUUUAUGUGUUCCAUAAUUUCUAGACCUUAUCUUUAACUAAAGAGCUGAUAGUCUCACUAAGAUUUUCACCCUUUGGUUACAUCUGUCUCCUUAUAAAUUAAGAAGUGGCUUUAAAGUAAGUGUGCUGAGAACUCGUUAGUGUCUAGCAUUGUACCUUUGUGUGUGACCAUUUACAAUACAACACAUGGACGUACUUCAAAACAUGAGUCUGAAUUGUCUUUAUUUGGGAUAUUUGCAUCUCAUUUAUCCAUUCCUAGUGUAAUGAGAAAUGCCUAGUUCGGGUCAGUGUUGCCAUUGUUAGUCUGUGAUUAGUGUUGUGUCAGAGCAUUUUUUAAAGAAUAAAAACUUUUUGGACAUUUUUUUAUAACCCAACUAAAUUCAGAUGUAAUAUAUUUGAACAUACAGAUUUUAGUUUAGCUAAAUGUUUUUGUUCUUUUAAUAUCGCUUGGUUUUGAGUGAACUGAAAAAAAAUGUAUAAUGAUAAACCAAUCUAGUUGAAUUCGCUCAUUUAAUGUGUGCUUUCUGUUCACCCAGACAUGGUUUUCCCUGAUACUUUUUUUUUUCUAUGAAAUUGGGAUAGUCACACAUCUACAGUGUCUAGCAUCUCUAGCUGUAGAGUGAAUGUUCUUAGUGAUAUAAAAUACUGUAUCUGCUUUAAGCCAAGGCAGCCUUGUGUUUGGUGAUAUAGAGUAGCUUGUUCGCAAGAAGCUUACUAAUAAGGGCCUAGCUAGGGAUUCCAGGAAAAGGACGCUCAGGAGCGUUAAAGAACAACAAAGAUGGGAGAAGCUAGGAAAGGCUUCCUAGAGUAAGUGGCUACUGAGUUCAUCUUUCAAGAAAACAAAAACAAAAACAAAAAACAAGUUAGGCAAAUGAGAUUCUAAGCAGAGGGAAGAAGAGUCAGCACAGAAAGGGCAAAAGUUCCAAAGGGGAGAGAUAAUUGGUAGGAAACAAAAGUGACUCAGAGAAAAUAGCUCUCCAACUAGUGAUCCGCAGGCACCUUCUGUGUGUGUGUGUGUGUGUGUGUGUGUGUGUGUGUGUUACACUGUUAACCCAUGGAUUUCAUAGUGCAGUUCUGUAUCCCCCAUGGAGGUUAGUGGGGAACCAGAAAGUGUUCCUCGAUGCUGUGACCAUUGAGAUGCCUCCUUAAUGCCAUGUUUGGUUUGGUUUUAUCGGCAGUUUACCUGAUGUUACCUUCUGAAAUGGAUGGAAUGGAAUAUUAAUUAUGGCUCUAUGCAGCCUUGAUUCUGAACACUGAACAUGCAUACAGCACGCUGUGUGCAUCACACUGUGCUGCGCUAUCCGUGCUGCGCAGAGCACCUAGGAACUGCAGUGUUUUUACUGCUACGACAGUCACUGCUUCUAAUGAAACAUAAUAGUGUGAUUACAGAAAACAUUUUAAAUAUUUUUCGAACAUCAUUCCUUAGUAUGAAACAUCAAAUUAGUAUAUCUUUGAAUUGUACUAGGAUAUUUUAUUUUAAACAACAUUGUUGGAGUUUCUAACCUAUUGGAGUUUCUAACCUAAAAAAAUUUUUCAUUGACUUUUCCUUGGAAUUUCCAACAAUAUCUGAAAUGACUGUACAUACUUUUAUCUUUUGAACUGCAUAUUGUGUGAGGUAGUGUUCUCAGCAUUAGCAAUUAUGAAUCAAAAUAUCUUUUCAACUUUGAAAAAUGUUGAAGAUGCUUUUAUACCCUGUAGUAUAAUUAUUUAACCAGUUUAAUUUUUAUUUUAAAUGCAAAAAAGCAUAUUGGUCUUAUUAGUAUUCAAAUUUGCUUUACUCUUUAGUACAUGGUAAAGUCAAAUGUAUUUCAAAGUCUUU